AUUGAACGCUGGCGGCAUGCUUUACACAUGCAAGUCGAACGGUAACAGGCCGCAAGGUGCUGACGAGUGGCGAACGGGUGAGUAAUGCAUCGGAACGUGCCCAGUCGUGGGGGAUAACGCAGCGAAAGCUGUGCUAAUACCGCAUACGAUCUAUGGAUGAAAGCGGGGGACCGUAAGGCCUCGCGCGAUUGGAGCGGCCGAUGUCAGAUUAGGUAGUUGGUGGGGUAAAGGCCUACCAAGCCGACGAUCUGUAGCUGGUCUGAGAGGACGACCCGGCACACGGGGACUGAGACACGGCCCAGACUCCUACGGGAGGCAGCAGUGGGGAAUUUUGGACAAUGGGCGCAAGCCUGAUCCAGCAAUGCCGCGUGCAGGAAGAAGGCCUUCGGGUUGUAAACUGCUUUUGUACGGAACGAAACGGUCUGGGUUAAUACCCUGGGCUAAUGACGGUACCGUAAGAAUAAGCACCGGCUAACUACGUGCCAGCCGCCGCCGUAACAC
rnacentral:rRNA from 1 species